GCUCAGAGAGGGUGUCCGCCUUGCCAAAGAUCACAUAGCUGGCGAGGGGACAGGGUGAGGAUUCAAACCCAGAGCCACUUGUCGCCUAACCUCCAUGCUCUCCUGCCAAAGAGGAACAAGUGUUCAUCUGGCCGUCUCUCUGCCGCCCACAAGGAGCCAGGAAACCCUGGGACUGAGCCGCCGGAAAUGGAUGACCUCAGCCAGCCUCCUUGUUUCACAGACGAUGGGGAAAGUGGAAAGGGCCAGGGACUGGCCCAAGGUCUCGUCCUGCGACCCAUUCUCAUUCCCGGACUUUACUCUCCCCGGCAACCCCCGGAAGGAGCUAGGGAAAAACCUUCAGAGACAUCCCUGGGGAAGACAGCUGGAAGGCAGGGCGUGCCAGGGCUGUAAUGGUGUGGUGAUGAGGUGGUGACGAUGGGACUGUUUCCCCCUUUUGAGAAAUGCUCUGGCGUCAGACAAGUCCUGGGGGGCGGAGGGCUGCAGCCACAGUUCACGUCCCUCCCACGCACGUCCGCGUUCCAGGCCCGGAUGCUCCGCGCCCCGGGCUCCGGCGAAGGGCACGAAGCCACUGAUUAGGAAGCGAAAAGGAAAAAAAAAGUCCCGGCUUCUAGAAAGACUUGAAUGUUCGACCCCUGCCUGAGUCUGACUUGGCCCUGCAACGCCACCAAGUACACGACUUGGAGUUUGUCGCCUACCUGCUCACAGGCCUCGGCGCGCGCGUUAAGGUGGUGGAGACGGCGGCCGCAGCCCUUCCCUCUCCAGUUUGCUUUCUAGAGGCAGGUUGAGAGAAGAAACGUGUGAGCGUGUAAUUACAGAAUGGGAUCAGGUGAGGAAGGAGACAGACCAGGUGCAGGAUGGAAAUGGGCAGGCGGUUCCUUUAAAAUGAAAUCUAACCCUUUGGGGCUGCGCCGGGCUGGCUAAAUUUGUCACGUGUCUGAGGCCUUAACUCCUGCCAGCCACCCAGAGCCCUUGUGGCCCGACUGUCACUUUGCCGGGUGGAUCCUGGGUCACCUUCUGAACUCUCUGCCUGCCUGGUGAGCCCCUCAGGGGCCAGGAAGCCUGGUCGUAUCUCACACUCUGGAGACUCAUGGGAAUUCCAUCUAACGCAUGUGGCCCAGAUCCCUUUGGUUUCGAAGCCAGGCACUGGUGAGACACAUAAAGAAUACUUCUUGAGGGGAUGGGCGUCCCCACACUCCAGCUGACUGUAGGAAGGACAGGAGGAAGAAGGGCUGUCAGCAAAGGAAUCAUGCUCAGGAAACCGUCCAUGCCGGAAGUCAGCCCGGGAGCCCUACUGGACCCAGAAUGUCCAUGUCACACACACAGGCUGGUGGACUCAGAAAGGCACAUCACACACACAGGCUGGUUAGGAGAGACGAAGGGUUGAGGGCAAAAAACUGACUGAUCAGCCUCUCCUCCGGAAGUUUGGGCCCUCAGAUGUUGCCUCGAUUACCUAUCGCAAGGAAGAAAUGCCAGAAUUCACCCAGGCCCUUGCUGACGCAGGGCACUAGAGAGAGAGAAACCACUGGGCUGAUUAUCUUGGCUUUAUCCUCCACAUCUGUUUCAGCUCAGCAUCUCUGCUUCUCAUCUUUAAAGAGAUGGCUGCAAGGCUAGAGAAUCUCAGAGCUGGAAAGGGUCUGAGAGACCUCACAUCUCACCUCCUUCUUUCGGAGAUAAGAGCCGUGUCACUUGAGAGGCCGUGACUCACUCAAGGCCACACGGCGUGGGGGGUGGGGGGUGCGGGGUGGGGAGCUGGGAUUGCAGCUCUCCCUUCCCAGGCCAGAGCUUUUCCCAGUUCUCCAAGCUGCCUCUCGGAUCCCGCCAAGUUGUUCCCACGCUGGCCUGGUUUAGGCCUCAUUAGUAAGAAAAGCUGGCUGUGGUCCUUUCUCAUCCCCCCACCCCCACUGCCUCUCGAAAAAGAAAGGAGAUGCUCUUCCAGAACAGAGCCAGGAUGGUUUUGCUUGUCAUCUGAUGUCUGGGAGUGCCCAUGCCAGGCUCCACUCCAGGGGUACAGCUCCUUGCCCUCACAUGGUGUCAUAAAAGAAUUCACCCUCCUGCCAACCUUGAGCAUAGAAGGCCGUUUCUCAGCUGGGACUCAAGCCACCUUGGGGGCCAAGACAUCAGAGAGACUGUGCUCGGCUCUUACCAGCUGUGUGCUCCUUGGCCAAGGUCUGUCCUUGGAAGGCAGGUGCUCCCCAAGGAGUCCCAACCCCAUUUCCUGGCCAGUCACCUUCACCCAAGCCAAGUCGAGACUCUCUCUGGAAGGUGCUCCACAUCCAUUCUGGAAGGGAGGAAUAUUCCCACCUCCAGUCCUUUUUUUAUUUCCAGCCACACUUCCAGUAGUCAUGUACGGAUAUGAAAGUUGGACUAUAAAGAAAGCUGAGCGCCGAAGAAUUGAUGCUUUUGAACUGUGGUGUUAGAGAAGACUCUUGAGAGUCCCUUGGACUGCAAGGAGAUCCAACCAGUCCAUUCUGAAGGAGAUCAGCCCUGGGAUUUCUUUGGAGGAAAUGAUGCUGAAGCUGAAACUCCAGUACUUUGGCCGCUUGAUGCGAUGAACUGACUCCUUGGGAAAGACCCUGAUGCUGGGAAAAAUUGAAGGCGGGAGGAGAAGGGGACGACAGAGAAUGAGAUGGUUGGAUGGCAUCACCGACUCAAUGGACAUAAGUUUGAGUAAGCUCCUGGAGUUGGUGAUGGGCAGCGAGGUGUGCUGCAGUCCUUGGAGUCCCAAAGAGUCAGCCACGGAGGAGCGACUGGACUGACUGACACUGCGUGGCUUAUGGGAUCUUAGUUCCCCGGUGUACAUGCUAAGUCGCUUCAGUUGGUUGACUCUGCGACCCUAUGGAUCAUUGCCCGCCAGGCUCCUCCAUCCAUGGGAUUCUCCAGGCAAGAAUACUGGAGUGAGUUGCUAUGCCCUCCUCCAGGGACUCUUCCCACUCAGGGAUGGAACUCCCAUCUCUUGCGUCUGCUGCAUUGACAGGUGGAUUCUUUACCACUAGUGCCACCUGGGAAGCCCCUUAGUUCCCCUACCAGGGGUCAAACCCCGGGCCCUUGGCAGUGAAAGCACUAACCACUGACCACCAGGGAACUCCCCCUCCCUAUUUUUUUUUUUUAACAGAUGUGGAAAUCCAGGUUCAGAGCGGUUAAGUUACCUGCCCAUGGUCACCCAGCUAGUGAGGGGCAGAGUCAGAAUUUGAACUCUGGUUCAAACCCAUCUCUUUCUGUGGCACCCCUCCACGUGCCCCAAAGGAGCUCGAGGCAUCUCAAGACACCCUUCCCGUGCUCAGAAGUAGUCCCCCCUGGCUUGCCUGGGUGCCUGAAACCCCCCCACUGGAGUAUCUGCUGCUGACCCCAGCCUUUUAAGCAGGAAAGGCCAGGGAUGGACAGGGGGAGGGUAUACAAAGGUUUGAUCAGGGUGGGACCAACCUGGGCCCCAGGGGCGAGGGCUUGGGGGCAGGGGAAGUGGCCCAGGGGAGAAAAGGCUGACUGGGGGAGGCGGGGCCCAGAGGCUGGCAGGACAGGGCAUGAGGGAGCACCAGUGGGGAUGAGGGAGGCUCCCUCCAAACCCCACAGGGCCGGCUCUGGGGCAGGGACUGGCUUUGGAGUGGAAGGGCCCAGCGUGACUGGGAGGCAUUAGUCAGCGGUGGAGGUUUAUGAAAGGAGGAAUUGUCCGGAGCCUCCUUACUCACCAGGCCAACUGGGCUGUCCCAGAGAGCGGGAGCAGGGCCGGUAUCAGAAGGGGACCGGGAACUCCGAGCUGCUCACUGCCCAGGUUGAAUGGCCCCAGGCAUCUGGGGGCCACGCUCGGGGGCCCUGUCCGGCCUCACGGCCUGUGAGUCACAGUCCUUGGCUGGCGGGCUGAGUGUCUUCAUUGUCCUCUCGGCCAGGGGACAGCGGGGCCCGACUCCCUCCUCCUGGGAGAAAGGACGCCCCGGGCUGAUUCACCAGUUUAUCACCCUGCUGCCCCCUCCGUCUGAGGCCCCCAGCAUAUUCACCUCCCAUCCCUUCUUCAGUCUUUCAUACAGUCAUUCUUUUUCUUAUUGUUGUUUUGCGUCAAUCUUUAUUUUUCCAAUUUGCAACAGUAAUCUAUUGACUGUUAUUCCGCCUUAAAAGGGGAUGAAAUACUGACCUACGCUACAGCAUGGAUGAACCUUGAGGACACUAUGCUAAGUGAAUAAGCCGGCUGCAAAAGGACAAAUUCUGUAUGAGUCCGUGCAUGUGAGGUUCCUAGAAUAGUCAAAAUCUUCAGGGCAGAAGUUAGAGUAGAGGUUGACAGGUCAAGGGGAGAAGGCAGCAGGCUUUGUGCUUUAAAGGUGCAGAGUUUGAGUUCGGCAAGGUGGAAAGUGUUCUGGAGAUGGACCGUGUUGAUGGUGGCAAAGCAAAGCUGAUGUACUGAGACCGUACACUUCAAAAU
ensembl:lncRNA